UACGCUGCUAAACUGUGUCCCUACAUAA
rnacentral:sRNA from 1 species